UGGAUCCAGACUUUGAUUCUGGCUCAGGAUGAACGCUAGCGACAGGCUUAACACAUGCAAGUCGAGGGGCAGCGGGGAGUAGCAAUACUUCGCCGGCGACCGGCGCACGGGUGAGUAACACGUGUGCAACCAACCCCGUACCGGGAGAUAACCCGCGGAAACGUGGACUAACAUCCCAUAAUACUGGAGGAUCGCACGAUCUUUCAUUUAAAAUUCCGGUGGUACGGGACGGGCACGCGCGACAUUAGGUAGUUGGCGGGGUAACGGCCCACCAAGCCGACGAUGUCUAGGGGUUCUGAGAGGAAGGUCCCCCACACUGGAACUGAGACACGGUCCAGACUCCUACGGGAGGCAGCAGUGAGGAAUAUUGGUCAAUGGGCGAGAGCCUGAACCAGCCAAGUCGCGUGAGGGAUGAAUGGUCCAUGGCCUGUAAACCUCUUUUGUCAAGGAAGAAUAAAAUGCACGUGUGCGAUCUUGCCAGUACUUGACGAAUAAGCAUCGGCUAACUCCGUGCCAGCAGCCGCGGUAAUACGGGGGAUGCGAGCGUUAUCCGGAUUUAUUGGGUUUAAAGGGCGCGUAGGCGGGACGCCAAGUCAGCGGUAAAAGACUGCAGCUAAACUGUAGCACGCCGUUGAAACUGGCGCCCUCGAGACGAGACGAGGGAGGCGGAACAAGUGAAGUAGCGGUGAAAUGCUUAGAUAUCACUUGGAACCCCGAUAGCGAAGGCAGCUUCCCAGGCUCGAUCUGACGCUGAUGCGCGAGAGCGUGGGUAGCGAACAGGAUUAGAUACCCUGGUAGUCCACGCCGUAAACGAUGCUCACUGGAUCUUGGCGAUACACUGCCAGGGUUCAAGCGAAAGUAUUAAGUGAGCCACCUGGGGAGUACGUCGGCAACGAUGCAACUCAAAGGAAUUGACGGA
rnacentral:rRNA from 1 species